rnacentral:rRNA from 1 species
UACAGAGGUCCCAAGCGUUGUUCGGAUUCAUUGGGCGUAAAGGGUGCGUAGGCGGCGCGGUAAGUCGGGUGUGAAAUCUCGGGGCUUAACUCCGAAACUGCAUUCGAUACUGCCGUGCUUGAGGACUGGAGAGGAGACUGGAAUUUACGGUGUAGCGGUGAAAUGCGUAGAUAUCGUAAGGAAGACCAGUGGCGAAGGCGGGUCUCGGGACAGUUCCUGACGCUGAGGCACGAAGGCCAGGGGAGCAAACGGG